UGAGGAAUAUUGGUCAAUGGGUGGCAGCCUGAACCAGCCAUCCCGCGUGAAGGAAGAAUGCGCUAUGCGUUGUAAACUUCUUUUUCAGGGGGAUAAAAUUCUGUAUGUAUACAGGACUGAAGGUACCCUGAGAAUAAGCAUCGGCUAACUCCGUGCCAGCAGCCGCGGUAAUACGGAGGAUGCGAGCGUUAUCCGGAUUUAUUGGGUUUAAAGGGUGCGUAGGCGAAAUAAUAAGUCAGUGGUGAAACCCUGCAGCUUAACUGUAGACUUGCCAUUAAUACUGUUUUUCUUGAGUAUGGUCAAGGCAGGCGGAAUGUGUAAUGUAGCGGGGAAAUGCUUAGAUAUUACACAGAACACCGAUAGCGAAGGCAGCUUGCUGGGCCGUUACUGACGCUGAUGCACGAAAGCGUGGGGAUCGAACAG
rnacentral:rRNA from 1 species